GAGGGUAUAGCUUAGUGGUAGAGUGCAUGCUUAGCAUGCAUGAGGUCCUGUGUUUAAUUCCCUGGUACCUCCA
rnacentral:tRNA from 1 species